UACGGGGGGGGUAAGCGUUGUUCGGAAUUACUGGGCGUAAAGGGCUCGUAGGCGGCCAACUAAGUCAGACGUGAAAUCCCUCAGCUUAACUGGGGAACUGCGUCUGAUACUGGAUGGCUUGGAUUUGGGAGAGGAAUGCGGAAUUCCAGGUGUAGCGGUGAAAUGCGUAGAUAUCAGGAGGAACACCGGUGGCGAAGGCGGCUUUCUGGACAGAUACCGACGCUGAGGCACGAAAGCUAGGGGAGCAAACAGG
rnacentral:rRNA from 1 species